GGAUGACGGUACCGUAAGAAUAAGGACCGGCUAACUCCGUGCCAGCAGCCGCGGUAAUACGGAGGGUCCGAGCGUUAUCCGGAAUUAUUGGGUUUAAAGGGUCCGCAGGCGGGCUGAUAAGUCAGGGGUGAAAUGGUGCGGCUCAACCGUAGCACUGCCCUUGAUACUGUUAGUCUUGAGUAAUGGUGAAGUGGCCGGAAUAUGUAGUGUAGCGGUGAAAUGCAUAGAUAUUACAUAGAACACCGAUCGCGAAGGCAGGUCACUAACCAUAUACUGACGCUGAUGGACGAAAGCGUGGGGAGCGAACAGGAUUAGAUACCCUGGU
rnacentral:rRNA from 1 species